AUUGAACGCUGGCGGCAUGCUUUACACAUGCAAGUCGAACGGUAACAGGUUAAGCUGACGAGUGGCGAACGGGUGAGUAAUGCAUCGGAACGUGCCCGGUCGUGGGGGAUAACGCAGCGAAAGCUGCGCUAAUACCGCAUACGAUCUGAGGAUGAAAGCGGGGGACCGUAAGGCCUCGCGCGAUCGGAGCGGCCGAUGUCAGAUUAGGUAGUUGGUGGGGUAAAGGCUCACCAAGCCGACGAUCUGUAGCUGGUCUGAGAGGACGACCAGCCACACUGGGACUGAGACACGGCCCAGACUCCUACGGGAGGCAGCAGUGGGGAAUUUUGGACAAUGGGCGCAAGCCUGAUCCAGCAAUGCCGCGUGCAGGAAGAAGGCCUUCGGGUUGUAAACUGCUUUUGUACGGAACGAAACGGUCUGGGUUAAUACCCUGGGCUAAUGACGGUACCGUAAGAAUAAGCACCGGCUAACUACGUGCCAGCCGCCGCAGUAAGAC
rnacentral:rRNA from 1 species